GACGAACGCUGGCGGCGUGCUUAACACAUGCAAGUCGAACGGAAAGGCCUGCUUUCCCUUGUGGAUUGCGGGUACUCGAGUGGCGAACGGGUGAGUAACACGUGAGUGAUCUGCCCCCAACUUGGGUAUAAGCCUGGGAAACUGGGUCUAAUUCCCGAUAGGACUGCAGGGUGGUGCCUGUGGUGGAAAACGAUUUUCUAGUGGUUGGGGAUGGGCUCGCGGCCUAUCAGCUUGUUGGUGGGGGAAUGGCCUACCAAGGCGGCGACGGGUAGCCGGCCUGGGGGGGUGGGCGGCCACAUUGGGACUGGGAUACGGCCCAGACUCCUACGGGAGGCAGCAGUGGGGAAUAUUGCACAAUGGGCGGAAGCCUGAUGCAGCGACGCCGCGUGGGGGAUGACGGCCUUCGGGUUGUAAACUCCUUUCGACCGCGAGGAAGCCACCUGGUUGGAAGGGUGGUGACGGUAGUGGGAGAAGAAGCACCGGCUAACUACGUG
rnacentral:rRNA from 1 species